UGGAGAUUUCACAACCAGCUCUGGAGAUUUUUUAGUUACUUACUGUGCUAGGAACUGGGUUUCGACUGAUUGGUAUCCAAAUUGAAAGGUCUUGCUGAGAGAAAAAAGCUAGAGGACUUGACAAUUGGUUCAGUUCUCACUAAGGACAUACAAAAUUGGAGGUUGUGAUUUAAGCAGCACUGCUCCUCCUUGUACCAGGUGGAUUGAAAUGAUGGCUCCUGUUUUCUCAAGAGCUGCAUGGCAUUGGGUUUGGUAUAUGAUCCAGUGGAUUGAAAUGAUUGCUCCUGGAUUAGGAAUAUAUAAUUCAAGGAUGGUAGCUUGCUUAGAAUCUUCGUUAGCUUAGGUACUAGUAGUGUUUUUUUGUUUCAGUAAAAACUAGUGGUCUCUUUUGUAACUUCCUACUGAUUC